rnacentral:lncRNA from 1 species
UGAAAAGGUCCGUUUGGGAGAACAUAACACAAACCCCUUCACACUCUCAUCCAAUCAUAUCAAAUCAGUUACAAACUGGUAAAAUCGAGUCAAAUAAGAGUCAAGAUGGAGGUGAUUCUCAUCGGAAAAAAAGCAUCUUGAGCUACUCCAAUAUCUUUUUUCUUACAACCAAACGAAUAAAGUAUAUUACAAAUAUUAUUGGUAUGGUCUCUUCACUUGGAGGAGCACUUAAUAAAUCAACAAUCCUAUUUGAACUGCAUUGACCUGCAUCAACAUUGAGAUUACAGGUGAGGAUGCAUCAACAUUGAGCUCUCCCAUUUUAUGUUAUGUCUAAAGGGAAAUAAUACACUUUGCACUUCCUAAAGAAAAGGACUCCCACACAAUUUAGGCCUAGUUCAGAGUUGUGUCAACUAAUUCAACUUAUACAUUAUAUUGCACAUUGUACUAGUAUACCCUACAAUUCAAAAAGAAGUUAUACUGGGGAAUCUAAAGUAGUACACCCUCCUAUUAAAAAAGAAGGAGAAGUUACAGUAGGGAACCUGAACUAGUACACACUACAACAAAAGAAGAAUACGAAAAGAUAGUAACAUUGCAAUAAAAAGCAUUAUUUCAUAAUUGCAUACGAUGUUCAAUUCAACUACAAGCCAUGCAGCAUUAAAAAUCUUUUACUGAAUUACAAAUUUGAACUAGUACGGAAGAUUGCAACGACGAAAUCAACGCCGGCUUAAAAACUCACAUCUUUUACCUACCAUCUUGUGGUUAGCUAUUCGGCUGAGGAAAGCAGAUCGAAGUCGGGUGUAACUGAACUGGUGGUGGGGAGGUAACAUUGACAAAAGCAUAUCGAUGAUGGGAGCUGAGGAUCUGCAAAAAUACCCAAAGCAAAUCUUUUACAAGAACCACUUGAACUAAUACAUGAAACAACGACAUUGCCUUACUACUGAACUAGUUCGAAAUAAAAUCAACAAUAUUGAUUGAACAUGAUCACUGCCUUACCACUGAACUAGUAGACUAUAGAACUAGUAUGGACGUCGCCGAAUUUUCUACAAUUCGAGCUAGUUCGCCGCCAUUGAACAAAGACGAAAACCUCUAGAAACACACAAAGCAGCGGUAGUACGUGGUUAGAAAAUUGGAGCCGUUGUACGUGUGUUUGGAUGAUAAAUCGGAGCCGACUACAAAAGAAGGUACCAGCCAAUUGGGAGACGAAUACAAAAGAAGGUGCAUGCCUAGAUCUUGGGAGAAAGAUAGAUCGUAGCCAUAUAGGAGCCGAUGACGAGACCUAGAUCUUCACCGAUGAACAUAGUCAACGUCCUCCAGAACUAUGAAAACCAAAACAACCAAUUAUUAACACCAAACCAUUAUGCAACAUGAAUUAGCUCUUCAAUCGGUGACCACAAACAUGUCUCCUCUUUUAACAUCUUCUCACCGGAAAUCUGAUCACCGUCCGAAGGUAAAGAAGGCGACCUUCCACUCCAAUUGCAACUGAAUCAAUAAAAAUCGUGGGUUGGGGGUGAUACACUUGUAGUAUGCACUAUAAAACAACCAAAUUAUCAAAGUAAUCAGGGACGAAUUUCCCUAGGGUCUCUAAAAUGUAUUCUACUCGAAGUUGUGAAAAGUGCUAAUCGGUUUAACAAAGAUGUGGUGUGAGUUCCACGAUUAUCAAUAUGAGAAUAAAAAAUAGUAAAUAACAAGAAACUAAAACAAGUUUGCAAGACUGCACAAUUUAGGGUUUGACUAAUUGGGGGGAAUCAGGUUAGACUUCGAAUCCCCCUAGACUAUCCAAAUUCACAAAUGAUAUUCAACUUCAAUAAUUUAUGCAAAUAAGAUAAAUUAAGUUCACCGUCGCAAUUAUUCUCAAAUCAAAUCACGUCAUUUCGGGUAUGUUAAUCUUCUACGUAUCUACUAUCCUAGUACAGCCUUUCAAAACAAAGAGCUGAAAUCCGUCAUGCGAUAAAACAAACAAUUGCUCACAGGACGGCCUAGUCUAUUCGCUCCCGGACGAAGGUUUAACGACUUACCUAGUUGUUUAAUUUCGACGUUCUAGAAUUGAAAGAUCUUGUGAGAAAAUAAAAAUCUAACAGGAUCCUAUUCAAGUUGAUCAGGCAAGAAGAGAAACGAAUAUGAAAUUAAACAUACACCAAAAUCCACCCAACUCGCAUAAAUCGUCAAAGUCAAACAAUCAGUAAGGAACUUAGGUACUCAUAAUCUCGUAGAACAAAACAAAAUCAACAAAGGGAACCAUUGAUUCUAGGUUUACACAAAGAAUUAUAGAAUACCAAAUUUCGUCGAUUCCGGUGGAAGAAUAUGAUUAGGCAAUCUUGAUUACAUUGUCCGAUCUGAGCUCCUUAAAGUGUUGCCUUCUUGUUGCUAAGAAAUCCCCGAUGCUAUGUUUGGCAAUAGGAAUCAUGAUUCCUAAAAGUUAAGUUGAGACUAAUGUAAAUAAGUUGAGUUGGAGUAGAAAAAUAUUAUUGAUGGAAAUUUGGAUCAAAGGAUAUAAGGAUUCUAAUUGGAAUCAUGUUUCCCUAUCUACUCAAU